UACGGAGGAGGCAAGCGUUAUCCGGAAUUAUUGGGCGUAAAGGGUAGGUAGGUGGUCUCGUUUGUCUGGGGUGAAAGCCUUGAGCUUAACUCAAGAAGUGCCUCAGAAACGGCGAGACUAGAGUUCUGGAGAGGGUCGUGGAAUUCCCGGUGUAGCGGUGAAAUGCGCAGAUAUCGGGAGGAACACCUAUGGCGAAGGCAGCUCGCUGGGACGUUACUGACGCUGAGACGCGAAAGCGUGGGGAGCAAACAGG
rnacentral:rRNA from 1 species